rnacentral:piRNA from 1 species
UAGUAGGAUGUAACUUGGA